rfam:Clostridiales bacterium 38-18 SCNpilot_bf_inoc_scaffold_50, whole genome shotgun sequence.
UGGAUGAUAUCUUUAUGAAUCAUACCUGCUAGAAUAUUUUUUUCAUUUCAAUCUGCUUUGAGCCACGGCCAAGGACAGAUCA